rnacentral:rRNA from 1 species
UACGUAGGAGGCGAGCGUUGUCCGGAAUUACUGGGUGUAAAGCGCGCGUAGGUGGCAGGCCAAGUCUGUGGUGAAAGCGCCCGGCUCAACUGGGCAUGGUCCAUGGAAACUGGUCAGCUGGAGGACGGUAGAGGCGAGUGGAAUUCCCGGUGUAGUGGUGAAAUGCGUAGAGAUCGGGAGGAACACCAGUGGCGAAGGCGGUUCUCUGGGCCUUACCUGACGCUGAGACGCGAAAGCGUGGGGAGCAAACAGG